rnacentral:rRNA from 1 species
GACGAACGCUGGCGGCGUGCUUAACACAUGCAAGUCGAACGGAAAGGCCCUGCUUUUGUGGGGGGCUCGAGUGGCGAACGGGUGAGUAACACGGGAGUAACCUGCCCUUGACUUUGGGAUAACUACAGGAAACUGGUGCUAAUACCGGAUAGGAGCUCCUGCUGCAUGGUGGGGGUUGGAGAGUUUCGGCGGUGGGGGAUGGAGUCGCGGCUUAUCAGCUUGUUGGUGGGGUAGUGGAUUACCAAGGCUUUGACGGGUAGCCGGCCUGAGAGGGUGACCGGCCACAUUGGGACUGAGAUACGGCACAGACUCCUACGGGAGGCAGCAGUGGGGAAUAUUGCACAAUGGGCGGAAGCCUGAUGCAGCAACGCCGCGUGCGGGAUGACGGCCUUCGGGUUGUAAACCGCUUUCGCCUGUGACGAAGCGUGAGUGACGGUAAUGGGUAAAGAAGCACCGGCUAACUACGUG